UACGUAGGGUGCAAGCGUUGUCCGGAAUUAUUGGGCGUAAAGAGCUCGUAGGCGGUCCGUCACGUCGGCUGUGAAAACCCGGGGCUCAACUCCGGGCCUGCAGUCGAUACGGGCGGACUAGAGUACUGCAGGGGAGACUGGAAUUCCUGGUGUAGCGGUGAAAUGCGCAGAUAUCAGGAGGAACACCGGUGGCGAAGGCGGGUCUCGUGGGCAGUAACUGACGCUGGAGGAGCGAAA
rnacentral:rRNA from 1 species